rnacentral:lncRNA from 1 species
CUCAGGAUGGCGCUGGCCAUGAUCAGUUUUCGACGUAUAGAGCUCAGGAGACGGAGGAAGUACAAGCAACACGAGUGAAGAAGAGCAGCCAUUUGGAGCAGAGUACACAUAAUCCAGUGCUGCAAGAAAUUAACACCAACUAUAGGGUUAAUGAUGAUGAGUACAAGGACAUUGAAAAGAAACUGAAGAAGAAACACAAGGAAAAAGAAGUGAGAACUUUUUACUCUGUUGGAACAGGUGGUGGAGGACCACCACCUGCUUCGAUUCCUAUGCAAAGGCCGGUCACUAUGGAGCCUCCUAGACCCAUGGAGUCUUCCAGAGCUGAU